rnacentral:rRNA from 1 species
GGUUGAUCCUGCCAGUAGCAUACGCUUGUCUCAAAGAUUAAGCCAUGCAUUUCUAAGUAUAAAUAACUCUGUACUGUGAAACUGCGAAUGGCUCAUUAUAUCAGUUAUAGUUUAUUUGAUAGUCCCUUACUACUUGGAUAACCGUAGUAACUCUAGAGCUAAUACAUGCGUCAAGUCCUGACUCGGGCAACUGGGAAAGGAUGUAUUUAUUAGAUCCAACCAACCCAGCCGGGCAACCGGCCGGUACCUGGUGAAUCAUGAUAACUGAGCGAAUCGCAUGGCCUCGUGCCGG